rnacentral:tRNA from 1 species
GUGGCUCAGUAGUAGAGUGCUUGCCUGACAUGUAUGAGGCACUGGGUUCAAUUCUCAGC